rnacentral:tRNA from 2 species
UGCGGGUGUAAGCCAACGGUAGACAGCGAGGCUCAUAACCUCGAAGCAGCCAGUUCGACUCUGGCCCCCGCAACCA